UGUUGCCACGUCAAUUAAUGAAGUCAUCCAACGCUUCCUGAUUUUUGCUAUUUUCUUAUUUCUGAUUUUAUUUUCUUUAAUUCCUUUUUAUUUCAAAAAUUCAUAACUCUAUCAUUUUUAAUCCAAAAAUUAUGGGACCAAUUGCAUUCUUCUCCAAAUAAAUUCUAGUUUCUUUUUCUGAUUUUUAAUUUAUUUUAUUUUAUCAUUUGAUAUUUUUUUGUGAAUUUUCUCUUUUCUGGUUAUUUUUAAUUCAUUUUAAAU
rnacentral:lncRNA from 1 species